UACGUAGGGCGCAAGCAUUAUCCGGAAUUAUUGGGCGUAAAGAGCUCGUAGGCGGUUUGUCGCGUCUGCCGUGAAAGUCCGGGGCUCAACUCCGGAUCUGCGGUGGGUACGGGCAGACUAGAGUGAUGUAGGGGAGACUGGAAUUCCUGGUGUAGCGGUGAAAUGCGCAGAUAUCAGGAGGAACACCGAUGGCGAAGGCAGGUCUCUGGGCAUUAACUGACGCUGAGGAGCGAAAGCAUGGGGGAGCGAACAGG
rnacentral:rRNA from 1 species